UGGGGAAUCUUGGACAAUGGGGGCAACCCUGAUCCAGCCAUGCCGCGUGUGUGAAGAAGGCCUUAGGGUUGUAAAGCACUUUCAGUAGGGAGGAAGGCUUCGGAUUAAUACUCUGGAGUACUUGACGUUACCUACAGAAGAAGCACCGGCUAAUUUCGUGCCAGCAGCCGCGGUAAUACGAAAGGUGCGAGCGUUAAUCGGAAUUACUGGGCGUAAAGCGCGCGUAGGCGGCUAUUUAAGUCUGAUGUGAAAGCCCAGGGCUCAACCUUGGAAUUGCAUCGGAUACUGGGUAGCUAGAGUGCAGUAGAGGAAGGUGGAAUUCCAGGUGUAGCGGUGAAAUGCGUAGAGAUCUGGAGGAACACCAGUGGCGAAGGCGGCCUUCUGGACUGACACUGACGCUGAGGUGCGAAAGCGUGGGGAUCAAACAGG
rnacentral:rRNA from 1 species